GAGGGCAUAGCUCAGUGGUAGAGCGCAUGCUUAGCACGCAUGAGAUCUGGGUUCAAUCCCUAGUACCUCCA
rnacentral:tRNA from 1 species